rnacentral:rRNA from 1 species
GCCCUACGGAGGCAGCAGUCGGGAAUAUUGCGCAAUGGAGGAAACUCUGACGCAGUGACGCCGCGUGCAGGAAGAAGGUUUUCGGAUUGUAAACUGCUUUAGACAGGGAAGAUAAUGACAGUACCUGUAGAAUAAGCUCCGGCUAACUACGUGCCAGCAGCCGCGGUAAUACGUAGGGGGCAAGCGUUAUCCGGAUUUACUGGGUGUAAAGGGGGCGCAGACGGCGAUGCAAGCCAGGAGUGAAAGCCCGGGGCCCAACCCCGGGACUGCUCUUGGAACUGCGUGGCUAGAGUGCAGGAGGGGCG